rnacentral:rRNA from 1 species
GAUGAACGCUGGCUACAGGCUUAACACAUGCAAGUCGAGGGGAAACGACGGGGAAGCUUGCUUCCCCGGGCGUCGACCGGCGCACGGGUGAGUAACGCGUAUCCAACCUGCCUCUGACUGAGGGAUAACCCGUCGAAAGUCGGCCUAAUACCUCAUGGUAUCGUCUCCGGGCAUCCAACGACGAUUAAAGAUUUCAUCGGUCAGGGAUGGGGUUGCGUCUGAUUAGCUUGUUGGCGGGGUAACGGCCCACCAAGGCUACGAUCAGUAGGGGUUCUGAGAGGAAGGUCCCCCGCAUUGGAACUGAGACACGGUCCAAACUCCGACGGGAGGCAGCAGUAAGGAAUAGUGGGCAAUGGGCGAGAGCCUGAACCAGCCAAGUAGCGUGCAGGAAGACGGCCCUAUGAGUUGUAAACUGCUUUUAUGCGGGGAUAAAGUGAGGGACGUGUCCCUCAUUGCAGGUACCGAAUGAAUAAGGACCGGCUAAUUCCGUG